UACGAAGGGGGCUAGCGUUGCUCGGAAUCACUGGGCGUAAAGCGCACGUAGGCGGCUUUCUAAGUCAGGGGUGAAAUCCUGGAGCUCAACUCCAGAACUGCCUUUGAUACUGGAGAGCUUGAGUCCGGGAGAGGUGAGUGGAACUCCGAGUGUAGAGGUGAAAUUCGUAGAUAUUCGGAAGAACACCAGUGGCGAAGGCGGCUCACUGGCCCGGUACUGACGCUGAGGUGCGAAAGCGUGGGGAGCAACAGGG
rnacentral:rRNA from 1 species